UCAUCUGCCUACAAAAACCUGUUAUUACCACAAACCAAAACCGUAGGAGGUUUUAUUAAACAAUUUUGCAGAAGCUACAUGUCAUGGUGGGGUUUUUGUUUUUGACAAAAAGUCGGUGUUCUUUUUAUGCUAUAAGCAGGUCACAUUAAAAUGGGAACCUUUUAAAAAGCUUUUAGCAUUUAUUUCAGCACAAAAGUAUUUGUUAUACUAUGCAAUGCUACAAUAAUAAUAAAAAAAGCGCUAUAAAGUGCAGUAAUUCCACUUCUGGAGCAAAUUCUAGAACUGAAGGGUACUCUGGAGGACCGGGCAAUGAAGAGAACCUCCGCAGGCGCUGGUGCAGUUUAGGCAAAAAGGGCUUUAGUCAACUGAUGCUUGCCGUAUUUGAGACGUAUUUUCCACGAGCCAUGGCGUCACUGACUGGCUGAGGAUGACGGCUGUGCACUGGAGGACUUGGGGAUGUGCAGGUCUGGGCAAAGCUGUUAAAGUAAAAAGCCUAUAGCGAGAACACCAGAAAAAUAAAUCAACGAUGAAACAUCAACUGUGAUAUUAUUCCUGAUUAAAUGAAUGAAUUAUGGUUUUACUUUCUUGAUAAAAAUUUUAUUCUGUAAAAAUGCUGAACUAAUUUGAAUAGCUGUAAAGAUACUAUAGUUGCCAGAUUUGCAAAAUAAAGCCUAAUCAAAACUAGCCCAUUCAUGCCCCCCUAUAGUGGGUCUCCACCAUCAAAACAGCAAUCCAGGGGGACCACUUUAGCCUGCAGACUAAAAAACAAACAAGCAAAUAAAACAACUUAAAGCAAAAGUGUCAAAGUACUCCUAUUUACUUGGCAACGCUGUAAGAUGAUUUAUAUUUGACUGCCAGAAUAUGUUGUUACAACAUCUACCAGCAGGUGCCAGUGAUCUCAACCGGUAAAAUCAUAUGGGAGUGUAUAUGAAAAGCACAUCAUUAUUGUAACACGUUUUACAUUGCUGUUACAUCAGUAAUGUUUUCACCUACAGUAACAGUUUAGAUUCUCUACGCUACUGUGUGCCAAUAUGAAAGAUGCCAUCAUAUUUCUUGUUAUGCUCAGUUGCUCAGAUUACUGUCACAGUAACAAAGUCGACCAGACUCCAUCUGAUGUGAUUCAGAAACCAGGAGAAUCUGCAAAGAUCCAGUGUUUACACAACAUACCCAAUUAUGAUCAAAUCAACUUUUACAGACAAGACCGGGACCACGGCUUCACGUUAAUGGGAUAUUUGGUUGGAAAACAACCGUUCAAAGAAAAUGAUUUCAAAGAUAAAAUAGAAAUGUCUGGUGAUGGAAAUGGAGAUGGAUAUUUGACAAUUAACAGUCUGAAAUUUAAUGACAAGGCAGUGUAUUUUUGUGCUGCAAGCUACACAGUGUUUUAGAUCCCUGCUCUUCAUUACAAAAAACGUCUCUUUGAUUUUGCAUGUAAUAGAUAAAAGGUAUUCACACCUGCUUGUGUGGUAUUUCAGGCAUGCUAUUAUGAAAACAACAAUCAACUAAUGAGAAGAUUCUGUCAGAUACUAUCAAAACCAGUAGGUGUCUCUUUUGAACUGGAACUAAGUGAAGACAUAUUUAUCAAAGAAGAGAGAGCAUUGUUUUUAUUCUGAGAGCACUGAAGCAUCG